GCUUUCCUGUGAUUCAGUUGGUUGAGCAUUGCGCUAAAAACGUAAAGGUCGAGGGUUCAAAUGCCAGGGAAAGCA
rnacentral:tRNA from 1 species